UAGUAGUAAAUAUUCAAGUGAGAAUAUUAAAGCUCUAGGUGGAGACAUGUUCCAUGGGAACAGCAGUUGGCCACGAGCCAGACGGUCCUAAGCAAACUGGUGACUCCUUAAAUUGUCCUACGUUGUCUUUUACAUUUCUGUAUUGAUUUGAUUUGCCUUAAUUGUGUUCAACAUAUGUAUUUGUGCUGGUAGCCCCUUGAAGCGAAAUCGAAUCGGGUUAAUAUUCCGAACCUGCCCAUGGAGAUAAGUGGUUCAUGUAUGCUUACAUCGACGCGCGUGCUCUCAAAUGUAUGCGCUUGCAUGUUAUGAGUUACUGGCAUCAUCAAGAACGCUAACGCAAACGUAUUGGGAGACCUCGGCAAGAGUUUCGGAAAGAGUCUUCUUCUCUUUUUAAGGACAGCUACCACCAAUGGAAUCGGGUCAUUCGGAAAUAAAACUCUGCACCUUUGCGUGGUUUUCUACGUAUGACCUGUCAGUGAAGACCUGGAGCCAUUGAUCUGCAGGGUAGUUCGCAUUAACUCUCUC
rnacentral:ncRNA from 1 species